GAUGAAGAACGUAGCGAAAUGCGAUAAGUAAUGCGAAUUGCAGAAUUCAGUGAGUCAUCGAAUCUUUGAACGCACAUUGCGCCCUGUGGUAUUCCGCAGGGCAUGCCUGUUCGAGCGUCAUUUCAACCCUCAAGCCCCGCUUGGUGUUGGGCCCCGCCCGCUGUGGCCGGCCCUAAAGACAGUGGCGGCGCCGCCUGGCUCUCAGCGUAGUACAUCUCUCGCUCCAGGGUCCGGUGGCCGCCUGCCAGAACCCCCCAACUCUGUGGUUGACCUCGGAUCAGGUAGGGAUACCCGCUGAACUUAAGCAUAUCAAUAAGCGGAGGA
rnacentral:misc_RNA from 1 species